GGGGGCGACAGGUUUCGACGGGGAUCAGUGAGGNNCUGGCGGCCUAACACCCGCCAGCGUCCUCCGGGUCGUGUCAUCAGGGCCCGGUCCAGGACGUCAUAUUCUGAUGACUGGCUCCAAGCCCUGCUCCGGGGUGAGGGGCGAGAUCCCGAGGAGCUGGCCGCCCGGAAAUCCCGCCGGUUGGAGGGCCGGGUGGCGAGAGCAAGAGAAAACCGGAUAAAGAUGUAGAUGCCUGCUGCCGAGGAUUUCCGGACGUGGGUUCGAUUCCCACCGCCUCCACCA
rnacentral:tmRNA from 1 species